CAGGCUGCUGAGGUUCGAAUCCCACCUUGGUCUCUUGCAAGUGUACUGACUGCAGCACAUUACCUAGCUGCCCUAUUCCCGAGUUUGCUUCCUCUUUAAGUGGGGUGUCAGUAAUAGCACCCACUCACAGGAUCAUGGUCUUAAAAUUUUGGUAGCAGAAAGCAAAGGUGCAGAGAGCAAUGGAAACAAGUCAGAAGCUGCUGUCUGAUUCCAGAGAUGUCCACAAUUUAUGACAUGUGAUUUAUGUUGAAAUCUUCAAUUUAUCCUGAAACCUCAAAUUGCUAAUUUAGUACAAUAACACCUGGGGAAAUAGGUCAUGAGGACUGCAGACAGACCUGCAGAAGGCCACAGAUCCUCUUUACAAUGUAACCUAUUGCUGUCACACUCUAGACCUAUGAAGUGCUGAGCAUAGCCUGGUGCUCUGGGCCUUUUACUCCCCCUCAAACCCUGAACUACAGUCCCAUUUGCAUUGUGCUAAUCUGAGGGCUGGGAGGUAGUCAGGCAACUUCCACUCCCCUGUGUGACUUGUAAGCCAAGUGGUCCUGCUGCCCGCCUGCCCCUCCUCCUGCCCACUGCAGCUCCUGAGAGAGGGAGGUAGAGACUUCUGAAGCUUCCCUUCUGCAACUUUGUCCUUUGGGGAAGUUUCAGGGCCUUGAUGGAAGUCACUAGCAGCUUGUUAAGAUCUUAUAUUGAUUAGGAAGUGUCCUUGACUUACAGCCCUCAGCAUCCCUUUGAAGUACUCUUACUUUUCUAACCUGGGAAACUGGCCUGUGGUGACCAGUUAGAAGUGCUGGAGUUGAGGCAGCCUUCUCAGUGCUUUGUGCCACAGACAGACUCCAGCAAGGCAGCCUCUCCAAGUAUUGUCUGUUCUAUCAAUAUGUACUUAGACACAUUAAUCCGAAUUAGAGAACUGAUUGUACCUAAUGGCUCCCCUGGGAUGCCAUGUCAGAAAAAAACAAAAACUGAAGGAGUAUGUUGAAUAUGCGGAGUAAGUAAAAAAAAAAAGAUUGUAAAAUUAGUGUUAAUUGAGCUUGGACCUUGAUCAUCUUUGUGCUUUCAAUUUUUAAUUUGACUCUUUAAAACAGUUAGUUCUUCCUCUCAAAGAUAGAGCCUAAUAAAAGUUAUACUGUAACAUUGCCAAAAAGACAUUUAAACAGGACCCAAUUUUGAAUUAUCUUAGAGAAAUAGGUUAUGUGUGGGGUAGACACAUGUACAAAUACACAUUCAUAAGUGUGUUUAAAAUACAUUGUAGUUGUCCUUUAUCCACAUGUUUUCUCUUUCUGCCUCUGGAAGUGGGGCACAUUUUCUUCAGUUAAAAACAGAAAUAGAAGCGACGGUCUUGACCCAUUUUACACCUGUUUAUUUCAGGCUCUCACCACACACUUGUUCAUGGGCGCAGCAAGAAGAGGGACCCACAGAGCUGGAGCCGUGAGGGCUGACACAUUGGGAGGAAGCUGGCAGAGCACAUAGGGAGAGCUUUCCAUCCUGCCAGCUCUGUAUCUGCUUCAAGACAGUUCUAUUAGUGAAUUAAUUGUACUUUAAACCCCAAGUUUAUAUAGUUGAAUGUUACUAGAAAUGACAUAGAUUCAUCCAGAGUGACUGAAAGAGUACAGCUGCCACUUACCUCUGGGGAGUAGCCUGCAAUAUGUGUUCCCUGGUUCUAGUGUUCUUUUUGCCCCAGCAAACUUCCCAUUCACCCAGCAAUGACCUGUUUGUGUUGAUUAUUGCCUCCCAAAAGAAUGGAAGCUCCAUGAGAGCAGGGCCUCUGUGUUGUCUCCUCUGUCUCCAGCACAUAGGGCAGCCUGGCCUGGCAUAUCAAUAAAUGCUAUUCAGUGAA